rnacentral:lncRNA from 1 species
AGAAUUUCCAGCAAGGCCUAAUUCCACUGAAAUCAGUGCCUCUACCAGCCACCUGUAGAUGUAUUAUGGACUUUGAUUGAGUUCUUCUUUCCUCUGGAGAAGGAAUGGUAGAUGAAUCCGUGGACAGUUUCCAUUCAUAUGACUUGUCAGCAUUGAACACAUAACACCUCUUUUUGCAUUACCUCACAGAGUGGGGGCUUUACCAGGGUCUAUUAUUCAGUGUCCUGCCAUGUGCUACACAGUUCAUUAUUUGCUUGAGGAAAAAGAGCAAGCCCUGAUAGUAAGCGGGUAAGGGGACAUGCUUCCCAAGAGUAACUUACUCUGUUUGUACUCUCAAUACCUUGCAGAGUGCUAGCCAUGUCAUGUGUGCUUAGUAAAACCUCAGUUAAAUCUAUAAACUUUAAGAACUUUGGAACAAAAGUAGUAGAAAAAGUAAGGGAGUUUUAGCAAGUGGGUAAAUGAUGAAAGUAAUCCUGUGUUGAAACUCAACCAGAUGAAUGUUGUUACCAAACUUCUGUACGGUCCACUAGGUCCAAAAAUAAAUUUUUGUGGUACAUAGGUAGUAGAAGUGGCCAGAUUAGCCAUAGACAGAUCUUGUUUACAUAUAAAGGCACAAUAAAAACUAUUGUCCAAGGCAGGGGAGAACAAUGCAUAAAAUCUUUAAUAUAUCUAUACUAGUUCUU